rnacentral:lncRNA from 1 species
UCUUUUACAAGAUUGUCAAAUUCUUGUAUUCCACUAUUAUUAUUAUAUUGCUCGUCAUCUUCUUCUUCUUCAUCAACUAGGGACAAAGUAGCUGCCUCUUUUCCCUUCCUCUGAAUAAAGGAUAUAAAAAUUGGGCAAUAAGAACUAAGAAUUGGGGCAGAAAUUGGGGGCAGAAACUGGAAAAAUUGGGCAGAAAUUUUCUGAGAAAGAACCGAAGGUAAAAAAAAUAUUUGCCAGCAUUUCGCCGCUUUUUGUACGUUUAGAAAGAAAAAGAACAACAAGAAGAAGAAGACUGAAAAUCAAAAGUAGUAGAAGAAGAAGAAGACAGAACAUACCUGUACUGUUGAAGUCUUGAAUAAGAAGAAGAACAGCCCUUGAUGCUUUGAGAUAAUUUCAGAAAUCCGAAGUUGAUAAAGAAGAGAAGAAGAAAUCGCUGCUCUUGUUGAAGAAAAGCCCUAGUCUCGUUGUUGUUGAAGACUCCAGAUAGCGUUUAUAUUUUACAAACUCGUUUUUAAAAAAAAUAGGGCUUGGGUUAAUUUUAAACACGGAAGUGUACGCUUCUCUCACUUCACCGCUUCUCGCUUUUUUACAGAGAAGCGGUCGCUUUUUCGUACCAGAGUCGCUUCAAAGAGCAGAAGCGCUGCCAUUCCUGCCUUGCUUCGCUUCUCGCUUAAAGCGAUGAAGCGAAUGCUUUUUUAAUCACUGGUUUGACAGUUUCAGGAU